AUGGCCGAAUGCUUCAAUAGGGUGCUCAAAGGUGCACGUGGAUUACCUGUGACGGCAAUAGUUCAAUACACAUUUGACAAGAUGAAUGCGUACUUUGUAAAGUACUCGAUGGAAACCGAUGCACAAAUAGCGGGUGAGAACCCACGGAAGUACAAGUACAAGUUCCCACCCAAAGUUGAUGAAUGGUUGCUAUUUCAAUCACGGAAAGCGGACUCAGAAGAAGCUAUAUUAUAUGACAAUGAGGAGUGGAAGUACGAAGUGAAAGAGCCAGGAGGAACCACAAACGAUGGCCGGCAACAUGGAGGUCGGGCUUUCAAGGUGUCGUUAACACAAUGUGAUUGCACUUGCGGGAGGCCAUUGUUGCUUCAUCUCCCAUGCUCACAUUUGUAUGCCGCCGGCCGCGUUAGGAAUGUGGACAUCAAUCACCCACGCACCGUGAGGGAGUCCCAGUUCUCAAUCAUGACGGUCAAGAAAACAUGGGCUCCCCGCUUUCACCCAUACUUUGACCAAUCACAAUGGCUGGAGUAUCAUGGAGUUCAACUAUGGCCGGAUCCG
rnacentral:rRNA from 1 species